CAUAGGCUUCAAGCGUUGUCCGGAUUUAUUGGGCGUAAAGAGUUCGUAGGCGGUCAAGUAAGUCGGGUGUGAAAAUUCUGGGCUCAACCCAGAGACGCCACCCGAUACUGCUUAACUUGAGUUCGAUAGGGGAGUGGGGAAUUCCUAGUGUAGCGGUGAAAUGCGCAGAUAUUAGGAGGAACACCGGUGGCGAAGGCGCCACUCUGGAUCGAUACUGACGCUGAGGAACGAAAGCAUGGGUAGCAAACAGGAUUAGAUACCCUGGUAGUCCAUGCCGUAAACGGUGGGCACUAGGUGUGGGAUUCUAUUAACGAAUUCCGCGCCGUCGCUAACGCAUUAAGUGCCCCGCCUGGGGAGUACGGUCGCAAGACUA
rnacentral:rRNA from 1 species